UACGUAGGGUGCGAGCGUUAAUCGGAAUUACUGGGCGUAAGGCGUGCGCAGGCGGUUCGAUAAGUCUGAUGUGAAAUCCCCGGGCUCAACCUGGGAACUGCGUUGGAAACUGUCGGGCUAGAGUGUAGAAGAGGGGGGUAGAAUUCCACGUGUAGCAGUGAAAUACGUAGAGAUGUGGAAGAAUACCGAUGGCGAAGGCAGCCCCCUGGGCUAACACUGACGCUCAUGCACGAAGGCAUGGGGAGCGAACGGG
rnacentral:rRNA from 1 species